CAUGGCUCAGGACGAACGCUGGCGGCGUGCCUAAUACAUGCAAGUAGAACGCUGAAGAGAGGAGCUUGCUCUUCUUGGUUGAGUUGCGAACGGGUGAGUAACACGUAGGUAACCUGCCUGGCAGCGGGGGAUAACUAUUGGAAACGAUAGCUAAUACCGCAUGAUAUUAAUUAUUGCAUGAUAAUUGAUUGAAAGAGGCAAUGGCUUCACUACCAGAUGGACCUGCGUUGUAUUAGCUAGUUGGUGAGGUAACGGCUCACCAAGGCGGCGAUGCAUAGCCGACCUGAGAGGGUGAUCGGCCACACUGGGACUGAGACACGGCCCAAACUCCUACGG
rnacentral:rRNA from 1 species